rnacentral:rRNA from 1 species
CUGGCUCAGGAUGAACGCUAGCUACAGGCUUAACACAUGCAAGUCGAGGGGCAGCAUGAAAGUAGCUUGCUACUUUGAUGGCGACCGGCGCACGGGUGCGUAACACGUAUCCAAUCUACCCAUGGCUCAGGGAUAGCCUUUCGAAAGAAAGAUUAAUACCUGAUGGUUUCAUGAGCCCGCAUGGACUUAUGAAUAAAGAUUUAUCGGCGAUGGAUGAGGAUGCGUCCGAUUAGAUAGUAGGCGGGUAACGGCCCACCUAGUCGACGAUCGGUAGGGGCUCUGAGAGGAGGAUCCCCCACAUUGGAACUGAGACACGGUCCAAACUCCUACGGGAGGCAGCAGUGAGGAAUAUUGGUCAAUGGGCGAGAGCCUGAACCAGCCAAGUAGCGUGAGGGAUGACUGCCCUAUGGGUUGUAAACCUCUUUUGUUUGGGAAUAAAGUGAGCCACGUGUGGCUUUUUGUAUGUACCUUACGAAUAAGCAUCGGCUAAUUCCGUGCCAGCCGCUGC